AACGAACGCUGGCGGCGUGCUUAACACAUGCAAGUCGAACGCGAAAGGGACUUCGGUCCUGAGUAAAGUGGCGCACGGGUGAGUAACGCGUAGAUAACCUGUCUUUGUGUCUGGAAUAAUACACCGAAAGGGGUACUAAUACCGGAUAUCCUUGCCUUUCAUAAGUUUUGCAAGAAAAGGUGGCCUCUGACAUAAGCUACUGCACAUAGAGGGGUCUGCGUACCAUUAGCUUGUAGGUGGGGUAAUGGCCUACCUAGGCGACGAUGGUUAGCGGGUCUGAGAGGAUGAUCCGCCACACUGGCACUGGAACACGGGCCAGACUCCUACGGGAGGCAGCAGUGAGGAAUAUUGCGCAAUGGGGGCAACCCUGACGCAGCGACGCCGCGUGAGUGAGGAAGGCCUUCGGGUCGUAAAGCUCUGUCAAAGGGAAAGAAAUGCAUAAUGGUUAAUACCUGUUAUGUUUGACGGUACCUUAAGUAAGACACGCUAACUCCGUGUCCAGCAGACCG
rnacentral:rRNA from 1 species